AAAAUCCGUCGAUUUCARAAAUCAUGAGGGUUCANGUCCCUCUAUCCCC
rnacentral:tRNA from 1 species